GAGAAAGCCGCCGGCCAUCAUCUCCGGUUGCUUUGCUACUCUCCGCUGACCUCUUUCCGAUCUUCUCUCAGUUUCCGGUAAGCCCAGAUCUGCUCUCUCUUAAACUUUUAUAUAUUUUUUCUGUUUCUUGUAGAUUGUUAUUGGAUUGAGCUAUGUGAAAAAGCUAAGAAAAUUGUGAGAUAUAUGCGGGCUUCUAUUUUGAGAUCUAUAGAAAAAGUGGUAAAAGAGAUAGGAAUUCUUGAUGGGAAAUGGGUAUUUUCUAUAUUUUGGAUGCAAAUUGUUAGAUGUAGCCAUUAUUGGGUUUUCAAAGGCUGAAUUUAGAAUGGUUCUUGAUUAAUAUAAUUCUGGAUCUGAUGAAUUGGAUCCCUUGUGAAGUUGAUCUGCUAUGGAUUUCCCUUGAUCUACUGUUUGAUUCCAUUUCAAAUGGUUUUGGAUGGUGCAAAAUAGCUCUCUUGUGGUGGCUUUUCAAUAAAAUCUAGAAAAAAGAAAAAGUAAUCUCAAGAAGAAAAAGCUUUGUUUCUGUCGGAAAUUGGAAUUGAUUCUCUCCUUUGUUUUUCUCCUUGGAUUUAUGAAUACCUAUAUGUAUGUAUAUAUAUGUGUGUCUGUGUAUGAAAUAUAUGUUAAGUUGAAAAUGAGCGUGGAGCACGAGCAAAUUAUGAUUAGUCUGAUUUGAUUGUGGAGCUUUGCUACUCUCUUUUUAGAUCUCUAGUUGGAUUAGACGAGAGGUUAAGUUGUAGGGGGAGAAGUAUGUUGUUUCAUUUAGAUUUGCUAGAGGUUUGCCCGAUGUUUAAGAUAUUCACUUUGGAUUCCCCUCUUCUGUAUUAAUGCUCUUUUUAAUUGGCAGUUGAAUAGAAAAUGGCUGACGGUGAGGAUAUUCAGCCCCUUGUUUGUGACAAUGGAACUGGAAUGGUGAAGGUCAGUUAUUCUUUUAACUUUUAUGUUUUGCAAAGAUGGAGUUAUGAUAGUUAAACGCUUUAUGUAACAUUUACCUUGUCAUAUUCUCAUUUUUUUUAAUGUUUUGGUGUACAAUUUUGAAAUGUAGGCUGGAUUUGCUGGUGAUGAUGCUCCUAGAGCUGUGUUUCCUAGCAUUGUGGGUCGUCCUCGACACACUGGUGUUAUGGUUGGAAUGGGACAGAAAGAUGCCUAUGUGGGUGACGAAGCUCAAUCCAAGAGGGGUAUCUUGACCUUGAAGUACCCAAUUGAGCACGGUAUAGUCAGCAACUGGGAUGACAUGGAGAAGAUAUGGCAUCAUACCUUCUACAACGAGCUUCGUGUUGCCCCCGAGGAGCACCCUGUUCUUCUCACUGAAGCACCUCUCAACCCUAAGGCCAACAGAGAGAAA
rnacentral:lncRNA from 1 species